UCCGUAAACAACCGCGCAGUAGAGCGGACGUAUGAAAAUCGCGCUCCGCGAAUUUCAAAUACCGGGUUCUCUACCUCCUGCAACCUGCGCUCCGGGUCCGCUACCUGGUGAAACUCGAGUUCCAGGACAAGUGCUCCGUAAUUUCUAUGCUCCAGGUCCGCGACCUGGUGAAGCUUGACUUCCAAGACGAGUGCUCCGUAAUUUCUGCGCUCAACGGCCACUACCUGCAGGAACUCGACUUUCAGGACAAGCGCUCCGUAGUUCCUGCGCUGCAGGUCCGCGCUGCCUGGUGAAACACGAGUUCUAGGACAAGCGCUCCGUAGUUCUGACUGUCCAGGUCCUUGACCUGACGACUUUUGACCUUACGGAUUAUUUUCAGGUUUACAAGUUUGAUUAUUGGAAACGUCAUGUUUUUUACUAUCAAACCAGUAUUCAUGCUUCAUAUAACAUGUUGAAUCGAACCCAAAAACCGAACGACCAGGAUCAACAAAUUGUAAUUGAUGAGUGGUACAUGACAAUACCGUCGUUCCAUUAUAGCUAAAAUUGCUGUGCGUAGUGUUUCAAAUCUGUCAGCACUUAGCUGAUUGUUCUGUGGUAUUUUUUCACGAAAUUUAUUGUCAUAAAAUCACAAUACGUUAUACCUACGUGCAUGUGUAAACGUGAUUUGUAGCAUUAUGUAGAAAAAAUUUUACGGGCAGAUUCGGUUUGCGUCACAUGCACAAAGACAGUGUUGAUUCUGUAUACAAUGAAGCAAAUACCAGAACUUUUUGGGGACUCAUCGUGCCCCAGUCACCCCUAAAACUAUGUCAUCUGGUAAAACACUGACAACGAGGAAGCGAGCGUACGAGCACAAAAACCAGUUACACUAGGCAUCCGACCCCGAGCAAGCUUUGGCGACAAAACUUACGCACUCCAUUUUUCUUCCCAAUUCGAGAUUCCAGUAGCGAGGCGCUUCAAUGGCCAGCUCAUCACUUCGCCAUUUUACGACAAUUGAUGACAUGAAAAUUUUUUUGGUAGUUUCCAAAUGUGAGUUGAAAUAUACUCGAAAUUUUAGAUAGCUUCGUUAGUUAUCUCUCAUUACAAAUUAAAUAGACAACAAUGAACGUUUCGCUUAAGAAUGAUCGUAUUUGAUUGAUUUGAAGAAAAAUAUGUGUACUUUUCUCGAUCUUUCAUAUGGCAGCAUUUAAAGAACCCGGUUUCCACUUUGAACCGACACGAAAGAUAUUUUUUGUCCAUUAUCUGAUUUUAUUAUUCACCUUUUUUCGGUGUUACUUGAAUAUUUAGUUAUACAAUUAUUGAUUGCUUUCAGUUUUCAACCAUUUGUAUACCAUAAUAAUAUAAAUGCAAUAAUUAUGAUCAACUAUUUUCAUGUAAACCAAUAACAAAAAGCUAUGUGACUAUUUGUGCACGGUGAGUAUAACAUUUUUUUAAUAUUUAAUGGUAAUUGUGAUUCUGUUAAUCUAAACGUUUUUAAACUUGUAAUGUUUAUAACAAAUUAUUCCAAUCCAUUUUUGGCGCAAGCCCAAAUUUUCUCAUAAUCUUCUUGGUAAAAUGUGUUUAUGAAAAAAUUAUAUUAAUCCUUACACAAUAUUUUUGAUGUGUUCUAAUACUGGAAAUAUUUGUUAGUAUUUGAGGUAUAACCCGAGGUGAUAAGCGGUGGUCGUCGGACGUAGUUGAAGGUGAUCGGAGGUGGUUAGAGAUGGUUGCGGGUGAUCAAGGUGGACGAGGAUUUGUGCUAGGUAUAACACGAGGUGGUUAGCGGUCGUCGUUGGAGGUGGUUUGAGGUGGUUACGGGAUGGUUGCGGGUGAUCGAGGAUUCCAAGUAUAUGACAACAGCGAUACCUUAUCACAUGGACAAUGGCCCACCUCAUAAUCAAGCUUUACAAGUCCUCAUUAAGAUAUUAAAGGCUAUUAAUGAGGAUAGUCCAACGGUGCCCACAUUAUUAACGGACUACAUAUUGAAAGUUCUGUGCCCCACCUACUGAUCCACUGGUACAUAUCCUCCGACGUGACAUCGCUCU